AUAGUGCUGAAGAGUCCCAAACUAGGACGAAACAGCUGUCCAGUAA
rfam:Trichobilharzia regenti genome assembly, scaffold: TRE_scaffold0001677